rnacentral:rRNA from 1 species
UACCAGCACCCCGAGUGGUCGGGACGAUUAUUGGGCCUAAAGCAUCCGUAGCCGGUUCUACAAGUCUUCCGUUAAAUCCACCUGCUUAUCAGAUGGGCUGCGGAGGAUACUAUAGAGCUAGGAGGCGGGAGAGGCAAGCGGUACUUAGUGGGUAGGGGUAAAAUCCGUUGAUCCAUUGAAGACCACCAGUGGCGAAGGCGGCUUGCCAGAACGCACUCGACGGUGAGGGAUGAAAGCUGGGGGAGCAAACCGG